rnacentral:rRNA from 1 species
AUACGUAGGGUGCGAGCGUUAAUCGGAAUUACUGGGCGUAAAGCGUGCGCAGGCGGUUUCGUAAGACAGAGGUGAAAUCCCCGGGCUCAACCUGGGAACUGCCUUUGUGACUGCGAGGCUAGAGUACGGCAGAGGGGGGUGGAAUUCCACGUGUAGCAGUGAAAUGCGUAGAGAUGUGGAGGAACACCGAUGGCGAAGGCAGCCCCCUGGGCCGAUACUGACGCUCAUGCACGAAAGCGUGGGUAGCAAACAGGAUUAGAAACCCUAGUAGUCC